rnacentral:rRNA from 1 species
UUCCAGACUCCUACGGGAGGCAGCAGUGGGGAAUAUUGCACAAUGGGGGAAACCCUGAUGCAGCGACGCCGCGUGAGUGAAGAAGUAAUUCGUUAUGUAAAGCUCUAUCAGCAGGGAAGAAAAUGACGGUACCUGAGUAAGAAGCCCCGGCUAACUACGUGCCAGCAGCCGCGGUAAUACGUAGGGGGCAAGCGUUAUCCGGAUUUACUGGGUGUAAAGGGAGCGCAGGCGGUCUGGCAAGUCUGAUGUGAAAUACCGGGGCUCAACUCCGGGACUGCAUUGGAAACUGUCAGACUGGAGUGUCGGAGAGGCAGGCGGAAUUCCUGGUGUAGCGGUGAAAUGCGUAGAUAUCAGGAGGAACACCAGUGGCGAAGGCGGCCUGCUGGACGAUGACUGACGCUGAGGCCCGAAAGCGUGGGGAGCAAACAGGAUUAGAUACCCCUGUACAC